UACGUAGGGUGCGAGCGUUGUCCGGAAUUAUUGGGCGUAAAGAGCUCGUAGGCGGCCUGUCGCGUCGGAUGUGAAAGCCCGGGGCUUAACCCCGGGUCUGCAUUCGAUACGGGCAGGCUAGAGUUCGGUAGGGGAGAUCGGAAUUCCUGGUGUAGCGGUGAAAUGCGCAGAUAUCAGGAGGAACACCGGUGGCGAAGGCGGGUCUCUGGGCAACAACUGACGCUGAGGAGCGAAAGCGUGGGGAGCGAACAGG
rnacentral:rRNA from 1 species